UCCACGUGGCCUGACAAAUAACCGAUUUUUGGUUUGAAUAUUCCCUCACCCUUUAUUAUCCGUGUAUUGAUUUGCUUUCUCACAACUGAAUCUCUUUCAACGGUAGAUAAUGGAAGAAGGGUAGGAUAUACAACAACAACAACAACAACAACUACCCAGUAUAGUCCCACAAGGUGGGGUCUGGGGGGUAAUAUGUAGACG
rnacentral:lncRNA from 1 species